UACGAAGGGAGCUAGCGUUGUUCGGAAUCACUGGGCGUAAAGCGCACGUAGGUGGACAGUUAAGUCAGGGGUGAAAGCCCGAGGCUCAACCUCGGAAAUGCCUCUGAUACUGGCUGUCUCGAGUCCGGAAGAGGUAGGUGGAAUUCCUAGUGUAGAGGUGAAAUUCGUAGAGAUUAGGAAGAACACCGGUGGCGAAGGCGGCCUACUGGUCCGGUACUGACACUGAGGUGCGAAAGAGUGGGGAGCAAACAGG
rnacentral:rRNA from 1 species